rnacentral:rRNA from 1 species
UAAGGAAUAUUGGGCAAUGGACGCAAGUCUGACCCAGCCAUGCCGCGUGAAGGAUGAAGGUCCUCUGGAUUGUAAACUUCUUUUAUUUGGGAAGAAAUCCACGAUUUCUAUUGUGGUUGACGGUACCAGAUGAAUAAGCACCGGCUAACUCCGUGCCAGCAGCCGCGGUAAUACGGAGGGUGCAAGCGUUAUCCGGAUUCACUGGGUUUAAAGGGUGCGUAGGCGGACAUCUAAGUCAGUGGUGAAAUCC